GUCACCUUUUUUUUAAGAAAAAAAAUUGUACUAUUUACUGCACUAUGAAGGAUUACAAAGAAAAAGUGGCAAGGAAUAAAAAAUGUUUUUGAAAAUCAAUACAUGUUGCUAGACUUCAAUGCUUCCUAGCAUAUAAAAGUUGAGACAGAAACCGAAGAUUUGAAAACCACAAGGAAAGGGUACAAUUAAUUCAGUAACUGAGGAUUUUCCUCAGCCAGCACACAGAAAGGGUAAACGGAUGCUUAUUCGCUCUAGUAAAUGAUGAAGAAUCAAGCGUUGGGUUGGAGAAACCAAGCAAUUCAGUAUCUUGAAUUAAGUUUACCCAAUGUUCAUUAGUUGUCAACUGCUGGGAAAUGUUUAUUAGAAGUAAUAAGAUGAGAGGGGCAAAUGACCUCCAUUACCUGCCCCACUGCACGA
rnacentral:misc_RNA from 1 species